GCCCAGAUGGUGGAAUCGGUAGACACAAGGGAUUUAAAAUCCCUCGGCGUUCGCGCUGUGCGGGUUCAAGUCCCGCUCUGGGCA
rnacentral:tRNA from 4 species